UAGUAACGGCGAGUGAAGCGGGAUGAGCUCAAGCUUAAAAUCUUCGUGCAAUUUUUGCACGGCGAAUUGUAGUCUAUAGAGGCGUGGUCAGUAUAAGCACUUGGGGUAAGUUCCUUGGAAAAGGACAGCAUGGAGGGUGAUACUCCCGUUCAUCUCUAAGUUGCUUGUGCGUACGACCCGUUUUCUUUGAGUCGCGUUGUUUGAGAAUGCAGCGCAAAGUAGGUGGUAAAUUCCAUCUAAAGCUAAAUAUUGGUGCGAGACCGAUAGCAAACAAGUACCGUGAGGGAAAGAUGAAAAGAACUUUGAAAAUAGAGUUAAAGAGUACCUGAAACUGCUGAAAGGGAACCAAAUCGUUUCCAGUGUCUAUAAUCCGUGGUAUAUUUCAUUGGCGAGUGUGUGCGUGCGUGUGCUGUUGCAGUGGCUUUUUGGCUGCGCUCGGUGUGUGUGCUGUGUGUACUUGCUGGUGCCCUGUGCUGCGGUGGGACGUCAAGGUCAGUUCGUAUGCUGCGGGAAAUGGCUACUGAGGAGGUAGGGCUUACGCUUGCGUUUGUCUGUUAUAUCUUGGUGGACGAGUCGUCGCGGUUGGGACUGAGGUGCCUACAACGUGCUUUUGAGUGGGCUUGGGUCUCCGUGUGCGCCGUGUGCGGAUAGCUUGCUAUGCGUGUGUGGUUGUAUGUG
rnacentral:rRNA from 1 species